UGACCGGCCAGGUCUGCUCGGCACCGGCCAACACCUGGUCGCCGAGGUACUGGCCGUCGGCGAGCACCUCCAGGGAGGUCUCACCGUCGUACUGCCCCUUGGCGAAGGUGUUGACCUUCCCGUGGGCCAGCAACACCACCUCCUCGGCCGGCUCGCCGGCGGUGGUGAUGACCUCGCCCGGCGCGUAGUGGCGCUGGGCGAACCGCUCGGCCAGCGCGCUCAGGGCCGCGUCGUCGCCGAGGUCGCGCAGCGAGGGCAGUUCGCGCAGUUCCGGGGGCAGGACGCGGACCUGAUCACCGGUGUUGGCGAAGGUCAGGCGGCCGUCACCGAAGGUGUAGGUCAACCGGCGGUUGACCCGGUACGAACCGCUGGUGGUAUCGACCCAGGGCAGCAUGCGCGACAGCCACCGCGGGCUGAUCGAGGCCAUCUGCGGCGGCGUCUUGGUCGUACUGGCCAGGUUGCGGGCAGCUGCCGUGCCCAGGCUGAGCUGGCCCUGACCAC
rnacentral:antisense_RNA from 1 species